GAGCGCCGUGCAGCUGGGCCCACUGGUCACUGGAAGGCUCCGGAAGCCAUGAAGCCACUGGGAAGCCACUGAUGCCGUGACCUUCUGCUCCUGGCGCUGGAGUGCAGGCCGCGCCUCUGCUCAGACAGGUGGGAUGCCUCAGGCACCUGUGCAUUUACCUGUGGCCUCGGCGGCUACAGGGAAUUUACCGCCUCACUUCGGCCUGCUCAGCCAGGCACGGGACCUCCCCUGGAGGGGCUGCUCGGCGGCUGCUUGUGCAUGGAAGGACCUGUGGAAGGAGAUACGGCUACUUUGGUCACAAACCCUCCAGAAAGCUUCAUCUGAGAAAAGAGAACUCCCAUCUCGUAUGUGGGGGGAGGCUGUGAAACAGAUUUCCCUGCCCGGCAACAAGUGGCAGGUCCAGUCCCUGUAGGUGGCCCCGCUGAUGCAGAUCCAGUGCCGCACACCUGACACACACAUGUUGGACUCCAUGUUCCUUCCUGAGUCGGAGCGGACAGACCUGGGAGAGAGGACAGCGAGUCUGCAGAGAGAAGCUGAGCACACGGUCCCAAGUCCUCAUCAACACUCCCUGUUCUUGAGGAGCAGCCAAAAACCACUUAUUCUCACCAACAUUGCAUCAGCCGGGAAAAGCAAGAAGUGGAGCCAAGAGGCAAACUUUUCUCAAGAAUGUUCUCCCCGCAUCUCUGGUUUGGUGCUGUUUGCCCAUAUAUGUCCUUCCAGCCAUUACUCCCUGGACUCCCAUCCCCAGCCCUAAAUCUAUAGCAAGGAGCAUGGUCUGAAGCACAGGGGCAGGAACUGGCUGGGGUGGGGGGACCCCUGGAACCGGCAGCAAUUGUUAAAAAUGAAAAGUGGCAUAAAUAUCUGAAUCUCAUGCCUUGGCAGAGGAGAAGGAAACUCUUUGCUCGCACUCCUGUCCCCUUCCCCACCUGAUAGAAGGUUGGGGACCAGCGAGCGACAGGGUCUUCCAAGGAUGCUGUAAUGGGUGUGGUCCCGGAGGGGGCAGAGGCCGGCGUGGCUCAGUGGCUGAGCGUCGACCUAUGAACCAGGAGGUCAUGGUUGGA